rnacentral:rRNA from 1 species
ACGUAGGGAGCAAGCGUUGUUCGGAUUUACUGGGCGUAAGGGCGCGUAGGCGGCGUGUCAAGUCGAUUGUGAAAUCUCCGGGCUUAACUCGGAACGGCCAAUCGAUACUGACGUGCUAGAGUGCAGAAAGGGCAAUCGGAAUUCUUGGUGUAGCGGUGAAAUGCGUAGAUAUCGGGAGGAACACCAGUGGCGAAGGCGAGUCUCUGGGAUGAUGCUGACGCUGAGGCGCGAAAGCCAGGGGAGCAAACGGGA